rnacentral:lncRNA from 1 species
UUUUUCUUCUUCCACGAGUGAAUGCUGCACUAAGCUUUAACCCUGUGGUUGAGAAAAGGAAAGUAUUACCCGCGUUAUAAUAACUAAAUAAGUAGCUAGCAGUUCACGCCUGUUGAAUCUCGUAGAAAGCUAGCAGCUAAGCAUGGACCAGUUCAAGCCCCCUGCACCGCUCGUGCUCACCGGCAAUUUAAGCGAAAAUUGGCGACGCUGGGAGCAGCGUUUUAAGCUCUAUAUGACGGCUACAGGUGCGGACGAGAAGGAUGAACCGGUGAAGACUGCUAUCAUGUUGCACACCGUCGGAGAGGAUGCACUUGAGGUGUACAACACCCUCAACGUUGAAACAGCCGGCGAUGAUGAACCGACGCUGGACGAGAUUAUGGAUGCAUUCAGGUCGUACUGCACACCUAAGAAAAAUAUUGUCUUUGAACGCCACCAGUUUUGGUCUCAUUCCAUGCCUGAAGGACUCGCUGUCGACAAGUUUGUGACUGAACUUCGUCAGAAAUGCAAGAACUGUGAGUUUGGUGUGGGUGAAGAAGAUAUGAUAAGAGACAAACUUGUGUUUAGUGUGCCAAAUGCUCGCAUGAAAGAGAGACUACUAAGAGAAACAGGCUUGACUCUAGAUAAAGCUGUUGAUAUUUGCAGAGCUGCAGAAGCUGCUAAGUCUCAAAUGCGUGUCAUGGGAACAACGCAAACAGAAGCAUCAGUGCAGGCACUAAGCAAGAUGGCAGUUGGUUCAGAGAAAUAUAAACUUAGCAAAAAGAGAAAGCAAAGGCCACCAGAUAGAGCACAAACAUUUAAUGCAAAUGCAUGUAGAAAAUGUGGUGGGACACACAAGCCACGACAGUGUCCAGCUUAUGGAGCUGUAUGCCACAAAUGCAGCAAGCAAAAUCACUUCGCCAAAGUGUGCACUUCAUCACAAGACAGGCUAGACUCUGUGAAAAGGGUCAAUCAGUUGGAAAGAGAAGUCGAGUCUCUUUUCAUAGGCACUGUGUCCUGUGCUGAAUUAGGCCACACAGCUCAACAAGCUGACAGAGCAUGGUACACCACAGCCAAUAUCAGAGACAUUGCUGUUAAGUUUAAACUGGACACUGGGGCAGAUGCAAAUGUACUGCCUAUGAACAUUUUCAAAAAGAUCCCAGGCCCUAAUCAGCUGAAGCCCACCCCAGUAGUUCUCGUUGCAUAUGGAGGAGCACGCCUGGCACCAGAAGGCACAGUGAGUUUUAUAUGUGAAACCACCAAGAGCAAGUCAGGUCUGCAGUUCUUUGUGACAAAGCACUCCUCCACUCCAAUACUUGGCAGAGAAGCGUGCGAGAAACUACAGCUGGUAAAAAGAGUGGACAUGAUCAGAGUGAAGGCACCAGCCACGAAAGAGGAGUUGGUGGAAGCCUAUCCAUCCGUCUUCAGUGGUCUGGGACAGUUUCCAGGGAUACAUCACAUUCACAUUGACCCCAAUGUGACCCCGGUAGUACACGGCUGCAGGAAAAUUCCCAUCGCUGUCAUGGACAGAUUGAAAACUACACUGCAAGAGCUCGUUGACAAAGAAGUCAUAGAACCUGUGACUGAGCCGACGGAGUGGGUUAAUAGCCUCGUCAUCACAGAGAAGAAGAACGGGUCUCUGAGGGUGUGUUUGGACCCUCGUGAUCUAAACGAAGCCAUU